CCCUUAGAUGUUCUGGGCCGCACGCGCGCUACACUGAUGCAUUCAACGAGUUUCUUCCUGGUCCGAGAGGAAUGGGUAACCUUUUGAAAGUGCAUCGUGAUGGGGAUAGACUAUUGCAAUUAUUGGUCUUCAACGAGGAAUUCCUAGUAGACGUAGUUCAUCAGACUGCAUCGAUUGCGUCCCUGCCCUUUGUACACACCGCCCGUCGCUCCUACCGAUUGAAUGCUCAGGUGAGCCAUUCGGACUUUCAUCAUGCUGGUUUCCAGUUUUGAUGAAGGAAAGUCUUGCGAACCUUAUCAUUUAGAGGAAGGAGAAGUCGUAACA
rnacentral:rRNA from 1 species